GACGAACGCUGGCGGCGUGCCUAAUACAUGCAAGUCGAGCGAAGUUUUUCUGGUGCUUGCACUAGGAAAACUUAGCGGCGAACGGGUGAGUCACACGUAAAGAACCUGCCUCAUAGACUGGGACAACUAUUGGAAACGAUAGCUAAUACCGGAUAACAGUAUUUCUCGCAUGAGAGAUAUUUAAAAGUUUGUUAUGCUAACACUAUGAGAUGGCUUUGCGGUGCAUUAGCUAGUUGGUGGGGUAAAGGCCCACCAAGGCGACGAUGCAUAGCCGACCUGAGAGGGUGAUCGGCCACACUGGGACUGAGACACGGCCCAGACUCCUACGGGAGGCAGCAGUAGGGAAUCUUCCGCAAUGGGCGAAAGCCUGACGGAGCAACGCCGCGUGAGUGAAGAAGGAUUUCGGUUCGUAAAGCUCUGUUGUUAGGGAAGAAUGGAUAUGUAGUAACUAUACAUGUAAGAGACGGUACCUAACCAGAAAGCCACGGCUAACUACGUG
rnacentral:rRNA from 1 species